GGAACUUAACUAGUGCUGAAAAAGUCUCACAGCAUAUAGGCUUAUGCAUAAAAUCAGCCCAUGAUCUCUUACCUAUCCCUUCAGUCCCCCAAAAUCUUCAACAAAGUAUAUGCUUUCUUUACAUGCCCAAGUCCAUGACCCACCAUCUGUAGGGUAGAACCUGUCUGCCUGUCUGUUUAUCUAAGCAUUUAGAUACUAUUUAGCAUUUAGAUGGGCACACUAAUAUGGGCCUGUCACAGAGACCAGAUCUGGAAAAUGUCAUCUGGGUAGUGAGGGCCAUAACAUAACAGUGAUGUGUGCAGUUUUUUGAGGGUGUUGUUAGCACUCUGCAUGGGGUUAGCACUAGUGGGCUGGGGUAGAAGGUUUUUGCAAGAAGCCUUCUGAGUUGGGUGACCAAACUCAUCCUGAGUUUUGUUUGAAAUUUUCCUGAUUUUAAAACUGAAAGUCCUAUGCCCUGGGAACCCCUUUCAAUGUCAGGCAAACUAGGACAGUUGGUCACACCAGAAGCAGGAGUGGGAUAGUAGAAUGGAGAGUUAGUGAUCGACAUACAAUCACGAUGCACAAUUUACUCAAGCAGGGAAAAAGUCCUUAGCUGUUUAUGAAACUACUGUUCAGAAAGUUUCCACCCUGUGGUUUUGCUAGUAUGUACCCUUUUUCUGGGAAAGUGCACAUUUUGAUGUCUCAGGAUGAGAUUGCAGUGUGUUCUUGAGAUUAUUUUGGAGCACAUGUUAUGUUGGAAUUCAUAGAAUGAGGAAUUUUUAAAGGAAAUAAUUAAUACAUUUUGAAGUUGUGCUUUUCCUUUAAUUAAAAAAAAAUCUGCAAGCAUUAAACAAACCAGUUCCCCAAAGGAUAAUCCAGUAAUAAGCUUUAAAAAUGUGCCCUGACCGAAAUAUUCUACAGCUUCAGUGACCUGCAGAGUUUUGAAGGAAAGUUCAUUUCUCAGUAGAGAUGGAGCCACUGAGUCUCUUUUAACUAUGACUCAUUUACUUUUCUAUAUUUCAUUUAGCGUUCCUUCCUCUUUUUGUUUUGAGGAGAAUCUCUCUUGAGUUUGGGCUUUUCCUUUACAAACAUUGCUGUCUUCAAGAGGGACAGUGGCAGCAGCAGGCCUUGGUAGAUGGGCUUUGCAGAAGCAAUGGUGUGAUUUCAAUAUAUUAGACUAGUGCUCUGAAUGGAGCUAUAAUAUGUGCAUUUAAAAAUGAUGUUAAAGCUAGGUAAGGAAGUGCAUGCCUGUAAUCCCAGUGGCUCUGGUGGCUGAGGCAGGAGAAUCACGAGUUCAAAGCCAGCCUCAGCAAAAAUGAGGCACUAAACAACUCAGUGAGACCCUGUCUCUAAAUAAAAUACAAAAGAGGGUUAGGGAUGUGGCUCAGUGGUCAAGUGCCUCUGAAUUCAAUCCCCGGUACCUACCUCCCCAAAAUGAUGUUGAAGUGCUGAGGACGAUGGCGCAUGCCUUAAUUCCAGUUUACUCAGGAGGCUAAGGCAGGAGGAUUGCAAGUUCUAGGCCAGCCUCAGCAACUUUGUGAGAUCCUGUCUCAAAAUAAAAAAUAAAAAGGACCUGAGAUGUAACUCAGUGAUAGAGUGACACUGGGUUCAAUACCUAGUACCGGGGGAAAAAAAUUGUUGAAGUGUUAUACUUCAACAAUUAUACUGCAGAUUAUACUUAUACUGCAGAUAUAGUAAAUGACU
rnacentral:lncRNA from 1 species